rnacentral:rRNA from 1 species
AACGAACGCUGGCGGCAUGCCUAAUACAUGCAAGUCGAACGAGAUCUUCGGAUCUAGUGGCGCACGGGUGCGUAACGCGUGGGAAUCUGCCCUUGGGUUCGGAAUAACGUCGGGAAACUGACGCUAAUACCGGAUGAUGAUGUAAGUCCAAAGAUUUAUCGCCCAAGGAUGAGCCCGCGUAGGAUUAGCUAGUUGGUAAGGUAAAGGCUUACCAAGGCGACGAUCCUUAGCUGGUCCGAGAGGAUGAUCAGCCACACUGGGACUGAGACACGGCCCAGACUCCUACGGGAGGGAGCAGUAGGGAAUAUUGGACAAUGGGCGCAAGCUUGAUCCAGAAAUGCCGUGUGAGUGAUGAAGGCCGUAAGGUUGCAAAGCUCUUUUACCCGGGAUGAUAAUGACAGUACCGGGAGAAUAAGCCCCGGCUAACUCCGUGCCAGCAGCCGCCGUAA